rnacentral:rRNA from 1 species
AGCAGCAGCCGCGGUAAUACGGAGGAUCCAAGCGUUAUCCGGAAUCAUUGGGUUUGAAGGGUCCGUAGGCGGUCUUGUAAGUCAGUGGUGAAAGCCCAUCGCUCAACGGUGGAACGGCCAUUGAUACUGCAGGACUUGAAUUAUUGGGAAGUAAAUAGAAUAUGUAGUGUAGCGGUGAAAUGCUUAGAGAUUACAUGGAAUACCAAUUGCGAAGGCAGGUUACUACCAAUUGAUUGACGCUGAUGGACGAAAGCGUGGGUAGCGAACAGGAUUAGAUACCCCGGUAGUCCCUGUCUCUUAUAC